GACUCUCGGCAACGGAUAUCUCGGCUCUUGCAUCGAUGAAGAACGUAGCGAAAUGCGAUACUUGGUGUGAAUUGCAGAAUCCCGUGAACCAUCGAGUCUUUGAACGCAAGUUGCGCCCGAGGCCAUUUAGGUUGAGGGCACGUCU
rnacentral:rRNA from 12 species